CAUUACCGAGUUUACAACUCCCAAACCCCUGUGAACAUACCACUUGUUGCCUCGGCGGAUCAGCCCGCUCCCGGUAAAACGGGACGGCCCGCCAGAGGACCCCUAAACUCUGUUUCUAUAUGUAACUUCUGAGUAAAACCAUAAAUAAAUCAAAACUUUCAACAACGGAUCUCUUGGUUCUGGCAUCGAUGAAGAACGCAGCAAAAUGCGAUAAGUAAUGUGAAUUGCAGAAUUCAGUGAAUCAUCGAAUCUUUGAACGCACAUUGCGCCCGCCAGUAUUCUGGCGGGCAUGCCUGUUCGAGCGUCAUUUCAACCCUCAAGCACAGCUUGGUGUUGGGACUCGCGUUAAUUCGCGUUCCCCAAAUUGAUUGGCGGUCACGUCGAGCUUCCAUAGCGUAGUAGUAAAACCCUCGUUACUGGUAAUCGUCGCGGCCACGCCGUUAAACCCCAACUUCUGAAUGUUGACCUCGGAUCAGGUAGGAAUACCCGCUGAACUUAAGCAUAUCAAUAAGCGGAGGAAAAGAAACCAACAGGGAUUGCCCUAGUAACGGCGAGUGAAGCGGCAACAGCUCAAAUUUGAAAUCUGGCUCUCGGGCCCGAGUUGUAAUUUGUAGAGGAUACUUUUGAUGCGGUGCCUUCCGAGUUCCCUGGAACGGGACGCCAUAGAGGGUGAGAGCCCCG
rnacentral:rRNA from 1 species